AUAAAAAGUAAAAUAGUAGCUAAUGAAAAAGUUUUCAUCUUGACAUUUUUGUCGGAAUUAAAUAGUAUUUUACUUGAGUUAAUCAUAAAGUGGCAGAAAGUUCCAGACACUGAAGUUCUACUGUUUAUAAAUUGAUACGCACACACUGGGCGCCCAAUAGAGGAGUGGGAAUGGGAACGGCUGUAGGCUACCGGGGUGUGUCAUUGCGCCCUGCACUUGUCUUCGGCUCCUCAGUUGUCGCUUUCCCCACUUUGUUGUGCUGUCUUCUCUGACAAAAGCGUGGCACACAUUUGUCGACUUGCGCCUCCUUGUCGAGAGUUGGGUUCCCCCGUUCCCCCAAGUUGCCCAGAGUUCCCGACCCCCGGCUCUCCCCAGUCCAUCAUUAACUGCUGUCUCGCUCCAGCAGCGCACGACCUGAAAAACUCUUGUUUUUCGGGUUCUCUGUGUGUUUGCUUGCCUGUUUGUUUAUAAUAGCGCGCGGAGCAACAAAUGUUGGCAACAUUUACACAAAAAUUGUUUGAACAAUUGCUGUCUGCGAAACAAAAGGCGCCUACCUACACCUAGUUACAGUCUCCUCCCUCGACGCCCAUCCACCCGAAAGCACAACAAAAAUUAUGAUAAUAAUGAGACAGCAAUUGUUUAAAAAUAAAAUUAAUUUCCAUGCGCCGCCGUCCUCGCGUAUGGUAAUCGUAAAUUGCCGCUGAAGAGCGUAUAGAACAUUUGAGAUACACUUCAAAAAAUCGGAAUACCAAUGUAUUUAUAGUUGUGUAAACAAAGGCUUUUUAUCCGGGGCGCAGAAUGGAAUGUGUGAACAAAGACGGGGGCUACCAUAUAGAUUACCAUACCGAAACUCCCUGAAGGAGGGCCAGCCAAAGUCCCAAUAAGCCGCUUUUCGGACUGUUAUAUACGUUAUUCGUUGAAACGUCUCCCUUAUCAUCGGUCACGCAAAAUAUGACUCAGCAACACGGGGAGCAAAACAAAUAGCGCUGGGAAAGCGAAAACAGAAACGUGGCAAAGGGCGAUUCGUGCCCAUUCGAUGUACUCCAUUAUAUGGUCAAUAUAUAGACAUAGUGCCAAAUCGGAGACAAAGUCAGAUGUAGAUUCAGAUGCCCAUGCCAUGUGUCGGACGAAGACAAAGAGCAAAGAGCAGCCCAAGACAUGAGCAAAACAAAGCCGUCGAUAACGCACUAAACGAUGCCUUUCAUGAAUAUACGGCUCCCUGAUAAGGGGCAUAACGAAGCACGGAGUACGGAAUAUGGGGAUACAUUAUAGAGAAUAUGGGGAAUACUAACCAUACAGAGAAGAACGGAGCUAGAAACUGCACUCUAAACAAAGAAAAUAAAGAAAGGUAUACUAGAACUGUU